GUGAGCUCCAGAGACUGAAUAUAUUUAGAUGAAAUACUUAUUUCCAAGGUAACUAUACGACUGAUGACAAUAAGUUAAUUUCAUUUCCAAGGUAACACUAUUUUAUAAGAUAUCAAUAGGUUUUCUUUCAUUGCAGUUUAUGAAAUCAAUUUGUCAAGACAGUGGAUUGAAACCGCAGAUCAAACAUGAAAGCACAUAUCGGAAUCAUUUGUUUGUGUGUUAUUUUGGCAGCAAGCAACCCUCUGCCAUUUACGGAUGAUCUUCCAAUAGAGUACGACUUUUCCGCAUUUCGGUUUAGUCCAUUACAUUUCCUCCGUUCCUACCCAAGGAUGUUUCAAUAUAUGGACUCUGAUGCAAUGAUUGAUACACCAGAUGUCGUCGAUACAGAUAUGUGAAAACCAGUUGCCAUGGAUACAGAUAUGUGAACAUAAAAACUAACUUCAAAAUAUUGUUGACAAGAGCGAACGUGCCAUUACCUUUAUAUGAACUAUUUCUUUAUGCUUCCUUUUCAUGCAUUUAUUAUUAAAUUGUUUAUUUGUUCUCAACGCUUUCGGUUACCUAUUUGGUAUUUUUGUGAUAAGUGUAUAUUGUUAUUGUAAAAAGGCUUAUUUCUUGUAAUAUCUAAUGUGUUUGCAAUUUUUGUAAAUGGAAAGGUAUCUAUAUGAAAUAUAUUUAUUUUAACCUAGUUAUAAAAUGCACUUAUAUAAACCAAUACCUGAUACUCAUAGAAUGUUUAAAAGCGUAGCGACUGUUUAAAAUCAAACCAAUUGGCUACAUUGAUUUUAUUAAAGGGCAUAUAAUCAAUGGAAUGAAGCCUGCAAAGUGUUAUUCAAAUCUAGUUAAAGUAUUUCUAAAAGCAACAACUAUCUGUUUAAAUUGAUUUUAUUCAGUAAAACGGUUAUUUUCAUCUUUUAGUACCUUAAUAUCACAUAUGACAUAGUUUUCAGAUUGCAAUUUAUUGUUGACAUGAGCUGCUGUUAGGUUAGUGAUAUGUUGUAAGGUUUGUCUUGUAUCCAUUAGAACAGAAUGUUGACACUUUGCAUUAAAGUCUCAAUGUACUGGUUAAGAUAUUAAAGAGCUUGUGUUUCUUUCUUUCAUUUCUAACGAAAGCUAUAGCUAAAAAGACUUUUCUAAAGCUACUAAUGAAAUAAAUAUUUAGCGUAUGUUACUUAGCAAGUAUUCAAGGAAUCAAUAAUAUUGUUCAAGGAAUUGCUGGAAGUCAGUAAGUCUUUUUAACGCAUUGCUUUCUUGACAAAUUAAAGCUGAUAUAUUGCAUACUUAAAGUGGUCAUAUUCCGGGAGUUGUUUUUAUUGUCAAAAAGCUUUUUUCAUGCUUUUCGUUGAUUUAUUUUAUUUGAUAUUGCCGCUUUAAAACUUGGCAGAUUACAGUGACCACGGUCUUGGAAAAUUUGCGAAUUGAUAUACUGUCAAUGUCAAUGAAAAUUGAAGGUAGAAAGUCGCCUCUUGUUUAUCUGGCGUGCAUAUGGUGUACAUGUUUGUCUGUUUAUUCUCAAGAACGAAAUAGUUAGAUAUCAUGUCUAGUCUUACCAUUUGUUUUAUUUGUUACGUCAUGUACCUCGUCCUUCUGUAUUGUACAAUUUAUGGCAAAACAUAUAUACUUGUUUGUGAAACGCACAUUUCUAUUAUAUCAAUACAUUUGUACAUUCCAUACGUUCAUAAUUGAUCUAUUAUGACUAUUUUUAGCCUUCGGUACAGUAGAUGCAAGAUGGUUGAACAAAUGAUAAUAAAUAGGACAAACUUGUUUUACAAUCUCCUAGAUGAGUCAAUCCGGUUAUCGACACAAACACUUUUGACACAUAAUAAUAACUGUUGACUUUAUCUAUAAUUAUCGUUGCCCAAUUUCUGUUACGCUCAUCCUAUAGAGGCCGAAUCUAAAUACUUCUUGAAAUUUCUAACAACAUGAAUAGGGUAUCUUUCCUCCACAACUGGUGGGUUAUUGUUAAAUCCUGGAUGCUAUGAUUGUUUCUUAUGAUAUCUAAUAUGAUAAAAUACUGUAUGUGUUUUGCUAUACAUGUAUAUAUGUUUGUUGUCUUUGCCAUUCUUGAAUGCAUCUGUAAAUGGCCAAAGGCAAAUUAUUUUGCUGAAUAUGCCAAUAAAAAUGAA
rnacentral:lncRNA from 1 species